UACGGGGGGGGCAAGCGUUGUUCGGAAUUACUGGGCGUAAAGGGCUCGUAGGCGGCCAACUAAGUCAUACGUGAAAUCCCUCGGCUUAACCGGGGAACUGCGUCCGAUACUGGAUGGCUUGAGUUCGGGAGAGGGAUGCGGAAUUCCAGGUGUAGCGGUGAAAUGCGCAGAUAUCAGGAGGAACACCUAUUGCGAAGGCAGCUCGCUGGGACGUAACUGACGCUGAGACGCGAAAGCGUGGGGAGCAAACAGG
rnacentral:rRNA from 1 species